rnacentral:snoRNA from 1 species
UGGAUCAGUGGUGAGUUCUGGUGGAGGUGUGUGAAUCAGCAUCUUUGAUUAAGCCCUCUGUGUCCUUCUGAGCUCCAU